CUCAUCGUUAAAAUUAAGUAAUAGAGUUAACGUCCUCUUCUGUGUACUUUCCCAGUAGAAUCAGUUCCACGUCCGGCUGGAAGAAACGGAAUUCAAGAAAAAAAAGCCUUUGACAACCGGUUGCUCGGAACAAAUACCAACAGAAAACCCUCCGGAUGUAGUUGGCAGAUGGCCUACAGCUACGGUCGGAUUCUUCAGUACUGUUCAAUCUAAAUCAGUUGGACAUCAGCAGUACUUGUUUUGAAUGGAGCUACAUGUUAAAUCUAACGACGCAUUGGUGGUACGUUGACGAAAGGUGGACGGAAUUACCAACGCCGAAUUUUGAAGCAUGUUUUUCUUGCCAACAAUUAUUUACAUUAUACCACAGAGAACAGACAUAUAAGCUAGAACAAACUUUCCCGAAAAACCUGUGUAAACAUUUAAAUGAAAAUACGUUGAAAAUCACCAUCGCAUACAGGUUUGCAUGCGUGAGUCACUAUUGUAUACAAGUUUGCUUACAAGUCCCGUAUAGUGAUUGCUGGCCGAUCGAAGCGCCGACCAGUGGCAAGUGUCUACUUGCUGUUGUCAUUUUAAAGCGACAGUUAUUUUUCUUACACAAGUUGAAAAGUUUACUUGUAUGUCAGUUCUCAGUGAUUAUACUCCAAACCAUACUAUAAUUUUGAAUGGGCGAGUUACAUAAUUAUUAUUUUUGAAUUAUCUAUGUUUAUUUUACAUUUUUAUAUAACACAAUAUAACUAGAAAAUGCAA